rnacentral:rRNA from 1 species
CCUACGGGUGGCAGCAGUGGGGAAUAUUGGACAAUGGGCGAAAGCCUGAUCCAGCCAUGCCGCGUGUGUGAAGAAGGCCUUCGGGUUGUAAAGCACUUUCAGUGGGGAAGAAAGCCUUGGGGCUAAUACCCUCGAGGAAGGACAUCACCCACAGAAGAAGCACCGGCUAACUCCGGGCCAGCAGCCGCGGUAAUACGGAGGGUGCGAGCGUUAAUCGGAAUUACUGGGCGUAAAGCGCGCGUAGGCGGUCUGAUAAGCCGGUUGUGAAAGCCCCGGGCUCAACCUGGGAACGGCAUCCGGAACGGUCAGGCUAGAGUGCAGGAGAGGAAGGUAGAAUUCCCGGUGUAGCGGUGAAAUGCGUAGAGAUCAGGAGGAAUACCAGUGGCGAAGGCGGCCUUCUGGACUGACACUGACGCUGAGGUGCGAAAGCGUGGGUAGCGAACAGGAUUAGAUACCCUAGUAGUC